CCUACGGGAGACAGCAGUGAGGAAUAUUGGUCAAUGGACGAGAGUCUGAACCAGCCAAGUAGCGUGAAGGAUGACUGCCCUAUGGGUUGUAAACUUCUUUUAUAUGGGAAUAAAACGUUCCAAGUGUGGGAUUUUGUAUGUACCAUAUGAAUAAGGAUAGGCUAACUCCGUGCCAGCAGCCGCGGUAAUACGGAGGAUCCGAGCGUUAUCCGGAUUUAUUGGGUUUAAAGGGAGCGUAGGUGGAUUGUUAAGUCAGUUGUGAAAGUUUGCGGCUCAACCGUAAAAUUGCAGUUGAAACUGGCAGUCUUGAGUACAGUAGAGGUGGGCGGAAUUCGUGGUGUAGCGGUGAAAUGCUUAGAUAUCACGAAGAACUCCGAUUGCGAAGGCAGUUCACUGGACUGCAACUGACACUGAGGCUCGAAAGUGUUGGUAUCAAACAGGAUUAGAUACCCCUGUAGUC
rnacentral:rRNA from 1 species